rnacentral:rRNA from 1 species
UACGUAGGGUGCAAGCGUUUGUCCGGAAUUAUUGGGCGUAAAGAGCUCGUAGGCGGUCUGUUGCGUCGGCUGUGAAAACCCGGGGCUCAACUCCGGGCCUGCAGCCGAUACGGGCAGACUAGAGUUCGGCAGGGGAGACUGGAAUUCCUGGUGUAGCGGUGAAAUGCGCAGAUAUCAGGAGGAACACCGGUGGCGAAGGCGGGUCUCUGGGCCGAUACUGACGCUGAGGAGCGAAAGCGUGGGGAGCGAACAGG